UACGUAGGGGGCUAGCGUUGUCCGGAAUCAUUGGGCGUAAAGAGCGUGUAGGCGGCCCGGUAAGUCCGCUGUGAAAGUCGGGGGCUCAACCCUCGAAAGCCGGUGGAUACUGUCGGGCUAGAGUGCGGAAGAGGCGAGUGGAAUUCCUGGUGUAGCGGUGAAAUGCGCAGAUAUCAGGAGGAACACCAAUAGCGAAGGCAGCUCGCUGGGACGGUACUGACGCUAAGGCGCGAAAGCGUGGGGAGCGAACAGG
rnacentral:rRNA from 1 species